rnacentral:sRNA from 1 species
AACGGCGGCGCAGUAUCCUAGUCAGAUCUGCCGCUUCUGAAGAAGGGCCUAAAAAUCCUUUAAAGGGCAUACCUGUGAAACCCUUGGUGCCUGCUUCUUACGCCCAGUUUGGGGUGGGUGCUGAGCGGAAAGCGCGGUUUUUUCUCGCGCUUGCGGGGGUAGGGCGUUCCCUAAUGGCAUAGGGAGGCCGACCCUGCCCUCGUGGAGACCUGUUCGCGUGCAUGGGCGUACUCCCCUGUGGUAAUUCGACCUCUGUACGGCUCAGGGUGAACCUGUAUUGCGGUGCUACCCGGCCUUGGAGCCGUAACGCUGUGUGCAGAGUAGCCUGCCUUGCGUGGGUAUGGCGGAUCGGAGAACAACCCGGCCUCUUCCCCGGCCAGGGAAGGGCCUGGAUCGCUCUGUGAAACCAUGGCUGCAAAAGAGGCUAAGAAGCGGUUUGACUGUGGUGGAAAACACCUAGGCUGUCGUCACUGGGCAGACAGGGGAUUGCAGUGCGGACUCAGUGGCAAUCGGGUCCCGCGGAGGGGCAACGCCGCGGCGGGGCGCUGAAAGGGAAACCACCUGAUCGGCAACGACAGGCGCGCACCGGGGAAAGCCUACCCGCACCUAAGCCGUAAGAUUUACUCUGCCUGCCGCCGCCGUU